rnacentral:rRNA from 1 species
GAGUUUGAUCGUGGCUCAGGAUGAACGCUGGCGGCGUGCCUAAUACAUGCAAGUCGAGCGAACAGACGAGGAGCUUGCUCCUCUGACGUUAGCGGCGGACGGGUGAGUAACACGUGGAUAACCUACCUAUAAGACUGGGAUAACUUCGGGAAACCGGAGCUAAUACCGAAUAAUAUAUUGAACCGCAUGGUUCAAUAGUGAAAAACGGUUUUGCUGUCACUUAUAGAUGGAUCCGCGCCGCAUUAGCUAGUUGGUAGGGUAACGGCUUACCAAGGCGACGAUGCGUAGCCGACCUGAGAGGGUGAUCGGCCACACUGGAACUGAGACACGGUCCAGACUCCUACGGGAGGCAGCAGUAGGGAAUCUUCCGCAAUGGGCGAAAGCCUGACGGAGCAACGCCGCGUGAGUGAUGAAGGUCUUCGGAUCGUAAAACUCUGUUAUUAGGGAAGAACAAAUGUGUAAGUAACUAUGCACGUCUUGACGGUACCUAAUCAGAAAGCCACGGCUAACUACGUGCCAGCCGCC